GUUGACUUUUGGUCAUCGUGUAUCAUUAUUGAUUGGAGGGCGGGCGGUGGAGGAGAGCGUACUGUGUUAUUUGUUGCUCGCCAAUUCUCCGGGAAGGCGGUGUUAGCACGCAGUCAGUAGAGGGCAAUAGAGAAAUACAGUUUGUGGUACCUAAAGGAUUUGAAGCACGGAUUAUGUGUUUACAGAAAAGAAAAAGAAGGAGAGAAGAGCCAGGAGGAUAGGUUGUUCAGUUUACUACUGGAGACCUGACUGUGACAGACCACCAAGAAAACAAAAUUUUCAAAGAGAGCAAAGACGACCUUCCGUAGCAUCUGUGACUCUCUCCUGUUUUCUUCAGAGUUGCGCAGGAUAACUUAGCCAGAACUUACUGAUGACUGCGUGUUCAGCGGACUCGGGAAUGGACUGGGAGAUGCGGGAAGGCACUCUUUGGAAGGAACAGAAGAGGAGGCAUUUCAAAGAUCCUGCAGGUGAAUGAGGAGCUGGGACAUGCUGAACUGCACUCGCUGAACUGCACUCACCAAGCUGCAGGGGAACUUUGGGAAGGUCUGUGAAGCCUUCAGGGAAAAGAGAAAAACAUAACCACCCAAAUAAUCCCUGCCCAGGGGCAUUAAAUGUCUGUGAAUAUAUGAAACAAUAAGCCAUGCUAUGGAACAUUAACAGCUAGGGACAUUUCUUAAAAAUAAAGAAGCAUUACUGCAAAA